UUGUCGGACACGAUUUGCAUGCCAUUGCAUUUGCCACGGUCCACGUUUGAUUAGAACCUGAAAGACGUUUCUGAGAUCAAACGCAAUUCAGGCAUAAGAAAUUUUAAAAAGAUAGGUCACUUCGCAGAUAUUGUCUCCCGGAUUCCAGUGGACACAGAUUUAAAAAAAAAAAAAAAAAAAAGCUGCUGCUGCUAGAAAGCUGAGUCUUCGCCCAUAUUUUGAAUAACCUACUGCUUCGGUUUCCCUAGCACGUCCGCAUAUAUGGCUCAGAAGGAAAACCCACUACAGCAGUUUUGUUAAUAGAGAGAAAGACAAGCAGUCUUAGGAUAGUCUUCAAAUUUUGAGAGAUAGUAUUUAUGAUGGUGCCAUGCUCUAAAGAUGAGAAACACUGCUGAGAAAAGAGCGAAGAUAGCUGCUGGAGCACUGCAAGAAGCAAGAGCAAAACCAGCCCAUUCAAUGAUUUCUCCAAGGAAAUUGGCUGCUGUAACAUAGUUGAACAAUCCACCAACAGGGAUCUUGUAUCCUGUCUCUCCUGGUUUGCGUAAAUGAAUCAGGAGCUGGUCUGUUAACAACAAUCAGUUAAUUAGAUUUUUUCCAAAGCAAUUUAACCCUUUGCAAUAACCACACCUGAAUAGAUAUUGAUGGCCAUCCCAACAAGGAACAUGGUGUAGCCUGGAAUCAAAAUUGAUUCAAAGUUUGUUUUUUUGUUAACAUAUGAUUUUUAUGUUAUUCCAGUUUACCUAUAACAAACUGAGGUGAAGUUAACCAUUUAUUAUCAUAUUGAUAGUAAUUUAACAGGUAAUGCCCUUGCAUAAAGCCAUUAAAGAUGGAGAAUAACAUUGCCGAGAUGUAGGGUAUAAAGGGAGUUUUCUUACUGCCUCGGACACACAAAGGAUAAAUUAUACUCCUGCAAAUAGUGCAUUGUUAAUGUUACGCUAAAACACAAAUUGUAACCAGACAGUAACACUUACCUAUUAAUAUAAUGGGUGACAAAUCCUAUCAAGAGUAACUUAUUGACUAAAGAACUCCAACAUAUGGCUGAAGUACCCCACAACAAAACUAAAGGCAUUAUAAAAGAUGGUGAUUCUUGAGUUAUCCAUGCAAAAAUUGUUGGGAGAAGGAAUCCAUAUUUUGAACUGCUGUAUCGUCCUUUAAUUAAUUAGAAUAUUUGUAAAAAAAAAAAAAAAAAAGAAAAUAACAUCUUAUUACCAUAGGGAGCUGGAAACAUAGCCAUGCUAGCAGCAACACUUAAAAUGUAGAAGAAGGAUAUCCAAACCAUUUGGGUAAACAUUUCUGAGUCAUUGCUUGCACCAAAUAAAGGAUGCAAGUAGCCAUUAAUAAAAUGGUUUCCUAAAGGUUGUAAUUUUGAUGACAUUUUGACGAUACGAGAACGCUAGUCCACAAGCGUUGUGUACAGACGUACGAAUAUACCUGUUUUCAAAAAAUAUACGUCAAUAUGACGUUUUGUUUUCCUAUUUAAAGCCCUAGUCACGUGUACAAAGUUGCCAUAUUUAACUAAUAAAGUUGGCGGGACGUUUAAAUUUCUACAGGAAGAAUUUUUGCGGCAGAUCGGGUUACGGGUUGCCUAUUAUUGUCCUGUGUCUCGUCUCUCGUGGGGGUUUCAUUGCAUAGAAAAGGUGAGCGAGUGAUGAAUGCAGGCUUAUCUUAGAAUCCGGCAAAAUACGGUUUGGCAUACGUGACUAAACUAUAUUCCAGUGCCGAUGCAGUGCUUUUCUAGUGCUUGAUUGGUGUAUCCACCAACUACGAAACGCAUCCAGCUUGUGAACAAAAAUCUUAACCAUGUGCGACAGUUGCGUGAAUCGCUACACGGGAAUUAAAAGCGAAGAAUCUACACUAAAGCAUAUUGU